rnacentral:rRNA from 1 species
CACGUAGGGUGCGAGCGUUGUCCGGAAUUAUUGGGCGUAAAGAGCUCGUAGGCGGUGUGUCGCGUCGGCCGUGAAAACCUGGGGCUUAACUCUGGGCUUGCGGUCGAUACGGGCAUCACUGGAGUUCGGCAGGGGAGACUGGAAUUCCUGGUGUAGCGGUGAAAUGCGCAGAUAUCGAGAGGAACACCUGCGGCGAAGGCGGGUUGCUGGGCCGACACUGACGCUGAUGCGCGAAAGCCAGGGGAGCGAACGGG